AUGCUAAACCUGCCUUGGGAUCUCCUUUUUGGAAAAGCAUCUCCUGGGCUUUUGCUGCUGCAAGAAGGGAUUGGAUUGUUGACUUACCCAUUCAGUGACAUUGGCACUGGACGUUCCAAAAAUGGGAACUUUUGGAGAUGGAACCCUGGGAAUGGGGAACAUAUUGCUUUCUGGCAUGAUAAUUGGGUUGGGGGUUGUUCCCUGAAAACUGCCUUUUGGGAUUUGUAUGCUAUAUGUCAACAACAAGACGAUGCUACUUUAUCUCAAGUUUGGGAUGGGGUGCAACUGUGUCUCACCUUCAGGAGAUGUGUGGAUGAGUUCAUGUUGCAUAAGUGGGACAUGUUAGUUGACUUGGUUAAACAAACUACUCUAUCCGGCCAACCAGAUAGCCCCUUCUGGGGCCUGGAGUCAAAUGGUCAAUACUCUAUUAAAUCAUUCUAUAAGCUGAUUAACUUCGGUGGGGUGACUUCUGAUAUUAGAGAUUUCAUAUGGAAGAUUAAAGUCCCCCCAAAUAUACAUGCUUUCUUGUGGCUGAUGUAUAACAACAAAAGUUUGCCUAGAGAUAAUCUGGCCAAAAGAAGACAUGUAGAGGAUGAAACUUGUGUGUUUUGUGCUGAACCAGAAUCCAUUCAACACCUUUUGUUUGAUUGCAUUGUUGCAUCUGAAAUCUGGGCUAUGAUUGCCGAAGCGUUUAACAUUACCCCUCCUGCAUAUUUUGAACCUUUGGCUUCUUUCUGGAAGAAGAAAAAACAAUGUGAGGCUAUUAAUAUUGCCACAUCUGCUACCUUGUGGUGCUUAUGGCUUUUCCACAAUGGUUUUGUUUUCCAGGGGAGAAGCUGGCGAGAUAUUUGUUGUGUGCUGGAUCAGGUGGUGGCAACAAUCAGGCAGUGGAAAAUCUUAUCUUCAGAGGCUCAGGGUGCUCUACUUCUCCAGUGCUUAAGGCUUUUGGAUUGGCAAAGAGGGGAACUGCUUAGAAUUGCUUGGGUUAGCUAG
rnacentral:rRNA from 1 species